GAAGAGCGGCUGAGUGGGGAGGAGAGAGGGACAGAGAGCCUGCUUCUUUAAAGGAGCAAAGCGGGAGAGGAGCCGCUUACACGAGUGUAAGCAGCUCCUGUCCGGUUGGUUCCUUUAAAGCAAGCAGGCUCUCUGUCCCUUUCUCCUCCCCACUCAGCUCGCUAAAU
rnacentral:miRNA from 1 species